AGUGAACGCUGGCGGCAGGCCUAAUACAUGCAAGUCGAACGGCAGCACAGCAGAGCUUGCUCUGUGGGUGGCGAGUGGCGGACGGGUGAGGAAUACAUGGGAAUCUGCCCAGUCGUGGGGGAUAACGUAUGGAAACGUACGCUAAUACCGCAUGCGCCCUAAGGGGGAAAGCCGGGGACCGCAAGGCCUGGCGCGAUUGGAUGAGCCCAUGUUCGAUUAGCUAGUUGGCGGGGUAAAGGCCCACCAAGGCGACGAUCGAUAGCUGGUCUGAGAGGAUGAUCAGCCACACUGGAACUGAGACACGGUCCAGACUCCUACGGGAGGCAGCAGUAGGGAAUAUUGGACAAUGGGGGCGAACCCUGAUCCAGCCAUGCCGCGUGAGUGAAGAAGGCCCUCGGGUUGUAAAGCUCUUUUGUCCGGAAAGAAAAGCAAUCGGUUAAUACCCGGUUGUCCUGACGGUACCGGAAGAAUAAGCACCGGCUAACUUCGUGCC
rnacentral:rRNA from 1 species